rnacentral:rRNA from 1 species
AUUGAACGCUGGCGGCCGGCCUAACACAUGCAAGUCGAACGAGUGGCGGACGGGUGAGUAAUGUCUGGGACACUGCCUGAUGGAGGGGGAUAAUUACUGGAAACGGUAGCUAAUACCGCAUACCAUCGGAUGUUCACAGAUGGGAUUAGCUAGUAGGUGGGGUAAAGGCUCACCUAGGCGACGAUCCCCAGCUGGUCUGAGAGGGUGACCGGCCACACUGGAACUGAGACACGGUCCAGACUCCUACGGGAGGCAGCAGUGGGGAAUAUUGCACAAUGGGCGCAAGCCUGAUGCAGCCAUGCCGCGUGUGUGAAGAAGGCCUUCGGGUUGUAAAGUACUGUCAGCGGGGAGGCGUUACCCGCAGAGGAAGCACCGGCUAACUCCGUGCCAGCAGCCGCGGUAAUAC